rnacentral:lncRNA from 1 species
AUCAAUAUCAAUAUACUAAAAAAAUUUCUAAACUUUAUUUCAAAUCACAGUAUUUCAUUUACAUUUAAGUACCUUGUAUAAGAGUCUUGUCCUAGAUCUAGGCCGACCCUGUUUAUUCUACCUCCAUCCCUAGUUAAUUUUUGAAUUUAAUAAUUUAUUAAAUUCAAACUUGAACCCAAGUCUCGAAGCUGUUGAAUACACCCUUUCUUUUUUCUCUUUCCUCCCUUUAAGGAAAAAAGAGAAAAAAGGGGCAAAGGAU